rnacentral:rRNA from 1 species
ACCCAGACUCCUACGGGAGGCAGCAGUGGGGGAUAUUGCACAAUGGGGGGAACCCUGAUGCAGCGACGCCGCGUGGGUGAAGGAGUAUUUCGGUAUGUAAAGCCCUAUCGGCAGGGAAGAAGCAAGACGGUACCUGACUAAGAAGCCCCGGCUAACUACGUGCCAGCAGCCGCGGUAAUACGUAGGGGGCAAGCGUUAUCCGGAUUUACUGGGUGUAAAGGGAGCGUAGACGGCGAUGCAAGCCAGAUGUGAAAGCCCGGGGCUCAACCCCGGGACUGCAUUUGGAACUGUGUGGCUGGAGUGUCGGAGAGGCAGGCGGAAUUCCUAGUGUAGCGGUGAAAUGCGUAGAUAUUAGGGGGAACACCAGUGGCGAAGGCGGCCUGCUGGACGGUGUACUGACGCUGAGGCUCGAAAGCGUGGGGAGCAAGCAGGAUUAGAUCCCCCUGUA